GAGGCGCGGGCUGGAGCCGGGGAGCCGCCGUGCGAACGGUGCUUUCUCCGUCUUUUGCCUCUGCGCGGGUAGUUCUCGGUCGGAGGCUGCCCCAGGAUGAGCCCGGCUCGCAUUUACUUUUGUGCGGCGUUGCUGCUGGUUGAGAACGGCUACAGGUUUACAUCUGCAUCUCUUUCUAAUUUAACAAUUGUGCAAUCAACCACUAAAUCAGAGAAUAUUACAGCCACCGUCCAACUACAGAACCCACGCACAUUGCAGCAACUGUACACGCAACCAGUAGGGGGUCAAUCACCCAGUCUGGGAACUGCUCUACAACUGCUACCAGGGCAGCCUGUUAUUAACACAACAAGUGCUGAAAUUCCUACAACCAACUUGCCCGCAGUUUCACAUUUUGAUAUUGGAAGUUUUGUAGGUGGUAUUUUGUUGGCUUUGGUUCUCGUAACUGUUUUCUACUUUGGACGAAGACUCUACGCCUCCAGUAGAGGCAGGCAAUACAGAACCAUGUAAGAAACUGGCAUCAGUGAAGAACCUGAGGCGAUAAUCUAAAUGGCAUCAAAUAAGAGACACUGGAUUGAGUGUAUUGGAUUUUUUCAUGAAUUAAAAGCUGAAUUUGCAGCCUCCAAUGUUUCAUAUUACAUUUUUUUUAUUUCACAAAUGCAUUGUUUUAGAAAAGUUUCUACAUGUUUCUACAACUUUCUAGGCUGGGGCUACAUAAAAUACUGGACCACAGAAAUUGCCCUGAGAACCCCCUACAUAAGCAUUUGCCUUGCCCCUAGGCUUGCUAGUUCACUCUGCAUAUUUAUUGCUAGAACGGAAAAUACAACUCUGCCAUCAAGUGGGUUUUAUUGUUUUGUGAAAUCUGACAUGAAGCUUACAAUUGAAAAGAUGUACUGUUCUUUCAUUAAUACUUAAUGCUGUUGAAAUAUAUAUUAAAGAAAAGCUUAAAACAUAAAAUAAAUUUGCUAAUUUUGGUGGCUGCUCUGCAAACUUAGAUUCAAAUUAUGUAGGACCACACAAUGUUGGACCAGGGAGUUUCAAUCUGUACUUAAAAGUACUAUUGCGUUGUAUUAUGUUUUACAUUUUAAACUAUGCAGGUAAUCUUUUUCAAUCUGAUAGUGCCUUUUGAGUUUAACUGGGCAUUGAGUAAACAAGUGUUAGGAUUUGAUGACUGAUGUUGUGGAUAACAAAGCACAGAGGGGACCAAGGAUGCAGGGAUUAUCACUCAAAGUGCAAUUCCUCUUUCAAUUUUCAUAUUUUCUGAACAUAGAACAAUAUAGCACUGGAACAGGCCCUUCAGCCCACAAUGUCUGAACCAAAUUAAACUAAAUCUCUACUGUCUAUACAUGAUCCAUAUCCCUUCACUCCCUGCAUAUUCAUGUGUCUAACAGCCUCUAAACAUCACUAUUGUAUCUGUUUCCAGCACUACCCCUGGCAGCCCAUCCCAGGCACCUACUACUCACUAUGUCAAAAAAAACUGACCCUGCACAUCUCUUAAACUUUUCCCCUCUCACCUUAAAUGCAUAUCCUCUUGUACUUGACGUUUCUACUCUAGGGAAAGAGAUUCUGUCUGUCCUAUCUAUGCCUCUCAUAAUUUUAUGAACUCCUAUCAGGAAACUGAACUGAUUGAAGUAUCCAAAGCUCAGAUGUUGAUGAUCAGAAACCCAAACUAUCCAACCUUGAACAUUUGGUAUCUUGCUUGAUUACCUUUGGUGAUAUCAAUUAGAAUAUCACCAUCUUAAUUUGAUGGAAUGGGGGGAGAAAAGCUUCAAAAAUCAAACUGUAUCUUUAGAGUUAGUAAUUGCAAGUGUUUUAUAACUGUUGGCGAGGUUAGUGGAUAUACCAUUGUUUAGAAUUGAACUCAGAACUGCCAGCUGAGAAAACCUGCAAAGCGUCCUCUGAACAUCUUGAUUGAAUUAAGAUUUAUGAUAAUUUUCACUUCUGCUUUCUUGACUGUUGACAUACUGAAGUUGCAUAGUUGGAUUUUAUAGAACCUGUGGAAUACUUGUUAAAACUUGGAUUAUUUGAUUAAUGAGUGAUUUAUUAUGAUUAGGUUUUGGAAAAUUUGAAUCCAGCUAUUUACUUAAGAAAAAGGGAUAUAUGAUAAUGUGAUGAAUUUGAUGUUAAAAGUUUUGUAAUUUCCAGAUAAUAAACAUUACAAACCAGAAUUUAGUUGUGUUUGUUUAAAGACUUUUUUAUAGAGCUACUGCCAAAAUAAGUAUGAAAAUCAAAAAAAAACUUCAGAUUUUGGAAAUCUAAAAUAAACCAAAAAUUGCUGGAAACACUCAGGAAACACUAGGAAGUAGAGCAAAGUGGUGAACAUCUUUGAAGACCCUUCAUCAGAUCUGUUCUUGGACCUGAGGCGUUGACCAUUUCUCCUUCAGCAGAUGUUG